GAAGUUUAAAGGAGUGCUGCACCAGCCCUGCCUCUGACGGGCUUCUACACAGAUACAUUUAGGUUUCAGAGACAGGACACACAGAGACACCCGGACAGAGAGAGAGAGAGACAGACACAGAGAGAGGCAUGGCACAGAGAGUCACCCACAGCCACAGCCUGUUCCCUCCUGGCCAGUCUGGGAGGCCCAGGGACGUGCUGGUCAAGUCAGAAUCGGCCUAUGCGAACCUGCAGUGGGAGCAGCAGCCCAGGCAGGAUGGGAGCCACCCACCUCAGGACUACCCUCACAGGGACCAGCCCCCAGUGGCUGGCUACAUCCCCCAGCCCAAUUACAUGGAGGGAGAUCAUGAUCUCAUCAAGCCCAAAAAGCUCCUCAAUCCAGUGAAAGCCUCCAAAAGCCACCAGGACCUCCAACGAGAGCUGCUAAUGAGCCAGAAAAGGGGUGGUGUUGUUGGUGUGGAGUCUAAGCCGGAGCUGCAGCGCGUGUUAGAGGCCAGGAAGAGGGAAAAAAUUAUAAAGCAAAGGAAGGAAGAAGAUGAGGCCAGAAAGAAGAUCUCUCCUCUGGAACAAGAGCUCCUCAAGAGGAAGGAUAAGCUAGAAGAGAAGGAGCAGGAAAAACAAGAGGAGACAGUGAAAGCCCCAGAGUUUGUCAAGGUCAAGGAGAACUUGAGACGGACGUCCUUUCACAGUAAUGGAGAGAAAGAGGUGUAGAGACAAACCGGUCCAGGUAUACAAUUUAGUUGGAAUCUGCUGGAGUUUGCACACAUGUGUGUAUUAUAAGUGUGAAUGGACAAAGAACUGCUGUGUUGUGUUGCUCUGACUGCACAACUCAGACAACAGCAAGGAACUUCUACCUGUUACAAGGACUGGUCGACAAGCCAUGACACAAUGCCUUCACAAUCCUACUCAGAGCAGAGACACAGAGAGAGAGAGACAGAGAAGGAAGGUUGACUCUGCAUUGGACUAGUGUUACAGUCAGUAGCAUAGGCCAAACUAUAGCUGUGACAUCUCAAUCCAGAGAAACUGGCAUGAGUGUGAGGGUCAAAGAGGGGAGCAGCUAUUCACUAGUGGACAUAGUGUUCCGUAUUGCAAUGACUCUAGAAAUAAAGCCAUGGUGGGUGUUCUUCUACAGUGUGUCAGAGCAGUGGUUACUUUUCAUUUUAAGCUGUGUAUAUCCAAGAGUCAUUCUCUAGGAUACAGUAUAAGAAGCACACUGUACCUGCACAUACAAUCAAUACAGAUUGUUAACAGGAAACAAUCCAAUUAACUUCAUAGCACACUCAUAAUCUUCUCAUGGAAUUUAAGGUCACGCAUCUCAAUGUGAAAUCUCUCACAGAGAAAGUUCCUAUCCCUAACAGUGCCUUCCUAGUUGCAUGUCAUCCUAAUCAAAAAGUUAAAAACAAGAAAAGCUAUCAUUAUGAAACUGAAUACUAUCAAUCAUUUAAUGUCACCUGGGCAUCAUAUAGAGUACUGUAUGUAGGUGAAUGUGAGUGUUGGUGUGAUGUUGAAGAGACACAAGAGGCACGGAUAUUUAUAUUACCUCCAACCACAUCUCACCUUUUUUUUCGUAACAUUUACAUGUUUUGGAAAGUUAUAUUUAUGUUUUGUGCUAAAGGUGUGAGACAAGGUAGAUAUUCUCACAUUUGUAAUUCUAUCACAGCUCUUUUUAAAUAGUAUUAUGUAGCGAUACACAAUUAAAUACAAUCAGUUGAAUAAUUUUAUUUAAAUAAGGCACUUUAGAAAAUGAAAUUAUGUAUCUGAAUAUGUAUUUUAGUGAUCAAUUAUGAAUUAGUCAUUUUUUAAAUCCUGUCUUUUUAAAAUCCAAUGAUUAAGUUUGAAUUUGUUUUUAUCCUGAUUGCGUAUAUUUGUAUUUUUGUGUUUUUUGCACCACAUAUUGUUCUCUGCCUUUACUGACUACUGAAGCCACUUACAAUGUUUAAUGGUAUAAAGCUGUACAUGUUAUAAACAUGAAGACAUUACUUCUCAUUUAUUUUUCAGUCUCUUCAUUGCAUAAAAGUAUGACUAUUAAUGUAUGAUUAUUUCAAUAGCUUUUACAAUAGCACAAUGAUUGUUAUGAAUAACAAUAAAACUUCAAAUUACUACAUAUCUGAGAAGGGAGGUACAAAGAGCUUAAGUAAGAUUGCUUUUCUUUCUAAGAAAAUAAAUAAAGGACAAACACUGCA